UGGAACCCGGGAAUUACUGGGCGGGGGGAACGAGCUCGGUUCAUAAAUAUGUCGGGAUACAAUGCUCGCCGAUGUGAGUCACCCUAAAGGAGAGUCAGAGACGAUUGGGAUCUGUCAUCAGCCGAGAAAACCCGAACGUUUGUCUACUGGAAAGCGAGAUGUUCUGGAUCGCGGUUCUCUGCGUUUGCCUUCUCCAAGCGGCGGCUGUUCAGUCCAUGAUGGACCCGCGAGAUAUGCAGAAGAACACUGACGCUGAUGAGUCACUCAAAGAUCCUCCGUCAGCGGAAACAGGAGUUUGGAUCCAGGGGAAAACGAAGACGCUGUUCGCCAGAAGAGGAGUCCAGGAGCGGCAGAGACUUCGCGCCACGGUAGGCAGU